UGUUCUCAGCCUUCAGAAGAAUGAGCCACCAGCACAGGGUCAAGGCCAGGCAUGUUUGGCCAGGCCUGAGAGGAAGUCCUCAGGAUAGAAGUCAUGGACUAUCUGCAGACCCAAGUGACGAGCAAGAAGAAUAGAGGGCUUCCCAUUGGAUGAACCUACAGAGAAGCCAAAGACAAGGCAGGGCGCUGGGGAUGUUCACUGACAGCUGCAGAUGUGAGCAUUGAGGAGAGAGGACAAGAAGGCUCUGUGGAUUCCCGAGUGAGAGAACACUAACUAUUCUCAUGUAGCGGUUGCUGGCUGUUCUUGCCUCGUUGCCAGAGAGCACAUCAGAAGUCACGCAACUCAAUGGCCAUGUGUUUCAAAUAGACUGUCUCUGUUUGCCGCUCUCUCUUCAGAAUGCACAGUCCCAAGAGUGGAGGCUCUGCUCACAACUGAUGAGAAGGUUAGCCGAGAUAAUACCGAAGGGAUAUUCGUGAAGGGAAGAACUUCACUCCAAGUGGGAAUACAGGAGAGGAGCGUGAAAUAAUGGAAGAGAUACAAAAGAGGGGUCAAAUGUGAAAUGCGAUCAGUGCCUCCCAGGCAAGGGUUAAGUCAGGAAUGGAGAAUAUCUGCUCGGACAAGUCACUGCUGGGUUGGUAUCUAGAGACAUAAAGCUGGAUUCCUUGUCUUGGUUCCUUUGCCGGUGUCCUCUUACAGCCACCAAAAUUUGGAAGGACCACAGUCAUGAUAAGUCCUGACCUACUAUGCCAGGAAAAUAGAAGCAGUCCAGGAGGAGAUUGGGAGACAAACCCAAGAGAGCUGAAGAUAUGGAGCAUCUUGGGGCUCUAGACACUUCAAUCACACCUACAGCCAGGUUUUCUACCAGGCCCUUAUUCUAGUACCUGAUGCUUAGGAAGGUACUCCCGGUGCUGCUGUCUAGCAUGCCCUCUAUUUCAACUAUAAGAAAUGAUCAUCCUUUGGAUCCCAGUUCAUUUGUCCCUUCCUCUGGGAAAUCUUUUGUGAUUUUCCU